rnacentral:rRNA from 1 species
CAGCCGCCGCGGUAAUACGUAGGGCGCAAGCGUUAUCCGGAAUUAUUGGGCGUAAAGAGCUCGUAGGCGGUUUGUCGCGUCUGCCGUGAAAGUCCGGGGCUCAACCCCGGAUCUGCGGUGGGUACGGGCAGACUAGAGUGAUGUAGGGGAGACUGGAAUUCCUGGUGUAGCGGUGAAAUGCGCAGAUAUCAGGAGGAACACCGAUGGCGAAGGCAGGUCUCUGGGCAUUAACUGACGCUGAGGAGCGAAAGCAUGGGGAGCGAACAGGAUUAGAGACCCCCGUAGUCCCUGUCUCUUAUAC